GGCAAGAGCUUGGGAUAAGAAAGUUCCCCAAGGAAACUUAGAAACAAGUCAGGUGACUAACAAUUAGCCAAGGGUGCUCUGGAAGCACAGAUGGGGCUCACCUGAUCUCAAGCAAGCACACAGUGGGUGAUGUGGUCUGUAAAGACCUUCCGGAGGAAGUGACACCUCAUAGAUCAAGAGGAUUGGGCCAGUUGUUGCAGGAAAGUGUGGAAGUGUUGUCUUGCCUGGGGAGUGUCAGCUGGUACCAACACUGCUUGUCCCUUUUCAGGAGAUAAGUCAGGGGUGCAUUGGGGGAGGGGUUUAGCACUCAGCCUCAGAAUGAGGAGCAGGUUAGGGGAAUUUAAGAAUGGGGCAACAUAGGUAGGUGUACUCCUUAGAAAGCUCAUCCCAGCUGCUCUCGGCAGAAAGGAAUGAGGAGAGCAAGGUCAGAAGGUGGGACUAAUUUGCAUGUCCUCUUUCAGUCCUGACAGAAUGGAAGGACUCCGAAGGAGCACUUGGCCUUGUUCACUGAGGAGGGAGCUGGUAAACAAUAGUCGAUUCUGAGGAAAAGCUCAAUCCAGGAUCCACCAGUCCCUCAAGAAAAAGCACACACUGUUGGGCAGGAAAUUGAGUUUCAAUUUAAGAUGAAAAAAGGAAUCACAAGAAAUCGCUGGAGCCUGGGAAAUCGGGUCCCUUUCUUCUGUUUACACGCACUGCUUGCCUAGCAAAGCUUCCACCCGGCAGCCCGCCUUCUCUGCUCCGCCCAGAACAUUCUCCAACUCCCAGGACUCCCAGCAUAGCAGUAGUGUGGCGCCCGGGGGAGUAAACUGAGUCAAUUCUCUGCCUGGGAGGAGCGGACAGGCCGCGCUACCGGGUCAGCUGGACAGACCUGGCAGGCUGCGCCCCCGCGCCGCCCGCGCGCCUCGGCCACCAGCGCUCCGAGGGUCUCUGGAGUAAAGAGCCCAGCUCGCGUCCGGGAGCCGAGAGCCGCCCUGCGCAGGCACCGGCCGCUUCCUCCUUGGGAGGAUGUGAAGGUCCUCAGACACCAGCCCUGACUCUGGCGUUCCUGGAUUUGAAGUGGACAUCAUCCAGACGCCGUCGGUGCGCGGCCGCAGAGCCCUAAUUUUGUGUCUAUUUUUAAAGGAAAAAAGAACUGCAAACAGGUUGUCAUCCGCAGAGAACGCGGGCUGGAGUUCGGACCCACCCCCGGCGGGGCGGGGCGGCAGCCCGGGGACCUGCAGCGCAGGUGGGCGGCGGCCCG
rnacentral:lncRNA from 1 species